rnacentral:rRNA from 1 species
UAGGGAAUCUUCGGCAAUGGACGAAAGUCUGACCGAGCAACGCCGCGUGAGUGAAGAAGGUUUUCGGAUCGUAAAACUCUGUUGGUAGAGAAGAACGUUGGUGAGAGUGGAAAGCUCAUCAAGUGACGGUAACUACCCAGAAAGGGACGGCUAACUACGUGCCAGCAGCCGCGGUAAUACGUAGGUCCCGAGCGUUGUCCGGAUUUAUUGGGCGUAAAGCGAGCGCAGGUGGUUUAUUAAGUCUGGUGUAAAAGGCAGUGGCUCAACCAUUGUAUGCAUUGGAAACUGGUAGACUUGAGUGCAGGAGAGGAGAGUGGAAUUCCAUGCGUAGCGGUGAAAUGCGUAGAUAUAUGGAGGAACACCGGUGGCGAAAAGCGGCUCUCUGGCCUGUAACUGACACUGAGGCUCGAAAAGCGUGGGGAGCAAAACAG